AUUGAACGUUGGCGGCAGGCCUAAUACAUGCAAGUCGAACGGCAGCACAGAGAGCUUGCUCUUGGGUGGCGAGUGGCGGACGGGUGAGUAACGCGUAGGAAUCUACCCAGUAGCGGGGGAUAGCCCGGGGAAACUCGGAUUAAUACCGCAUACGCCCCACGGGGGAAAGGCCGGGAUCUUCGGACCGGUCACUAUUGGAGGAGCCUGCGUUGGAUUAGCUUGUUGGUGGGGUAAAGGCCUACCAAGGCUACGAUCCAUAGCUGGUCUGAGAGGACGAUCAGCCACACUGGAACUGAGACACGGUCCAGACUCCUACGGGAGGCAGCAGUAGGGAAUAUUGUGCAAUGGGCGAAAGCCUGACACAGCCAUGCCGCGUGUGUGAAGAAGGCCCUAGGGUUGUAAAGCACUUUCAGUAGGGAGGAAUUAGUAGGGUUUAAUAACCUUAUGAAAUAGACGUUACCUACAGAAGAAGUACCGGCUAACUCCGUGCCAGCAGCGCGGUAAUGUCAG
rnacentral:rRNA from 1 species